UUUGUGUGGCGGCUUGUUCUGA
rnacentral:miRNA from 1 species